ACGGCCCACCAAACCGACGAUGGAUAGGGGUUCUGAGAGGAAGGUCCCCCACAUUGGUACUGAGACACGGACCAAACUCCUACGGGAGGCAGCAGUGAGGAAUAUUGGUCAAUGGCCGAGAGGCUGAACCAGCCAAGUCGCGUGAGGGAUGAAGGUUAUAUGGAUCGUAAACCUCUUUUAUAAGGGAAUAAAGUGCGGGACGUGUCCCGUUUUGUAUGUACCUUAUGAAUAAGGAUCGGCUAACUCCGUGCCAGCAGCCGCGGUAAUACGGAGGAUCCGAGCGUUAUCCGGAUUUAUUGGGUUUAAAGGGUGCGUAGGCGGCCUUUUAAGUCAGCGGUGAAAGUCUGUGGCUCAACCAUAGAAUUGCCGUUGAAACUGGGGGGCUUGAGUAUGUUUGAGGCAGGCGGAAUGCGUGGUGUAGCGGUGAAAUGCAUAGAUAUCACGCAGAACCCCGAUUGCGAAGGCAGCCUGCCAAGCCAUUACUGACGCUGAUGCACGAAAGCGUGGGGAUCAAACAGGGUUAGAUACCCUGGUAGUCCACGCAGUAAACGAUGAUCACUAGCUGUUUGCGAUACACUGUAAGCGGCACAGCGAAAGCGUUAAGUGAUCCACCUGGGGAGUACGCCGGCAACGGUGAAACUCAAAGGAAUUGACGGGGGCCCGCACAAGCGGAGGAACAUGUGGUUUAAUUCGAUGAUACGCGAGGAACCUUACCCGGGUUUGAACGCAUUCGGACCGAGGUGGAAACACCUUUUCUAGCAAUAGCCGUUUGCGAGGUGCUGCAUGGUUGUCGUCAGCUCGUGCCGUGAGGUGUCGGCUUAAGUGCCAUAACGAGCGCAACCCUUGCCACUAGUUACUAACAGGUAAAGCUGAGGACUCUGGUGGGACUGCCAGCGUAAGCUGCGAGGAAGGCGGGGAUGACGUCAAAUCAGCACGGCCCUUACAUCCGGGGCGACACACGUGUUACAAUGGCGUGGACAAAGGGAGGCCACCUGGCGACAGGGAGCGAAUCCCCAAACCACGUCUCAGUUCGGAUCGGAGUCUGCAACCCGACUCCGUGAAGCUGGAUUCGCUAGUAAUCGCGCAUCAGCCAUGGCGCGGUGAAUACGUUCCCGGGCCUUGCACA
rnacentral:rRNA from 1 species